UUAAGUUCAGCGGGUAUCCCUACCUGAUCCGAGGUCAACCAUAAGAUGUGGGGGUUGAGGGCAGGACCGUCUUUGGGUUCCAAGCGAAAGAAGACUUACUACGCUGGGGCACCCCAAGGCUAUCCGCCAUUCAAUUUCGGCAGUGAGGACCGUAGGCACUCAUCUACCAAGUCCAAGCAAAGAGUGCUUGAUGGUUUUUA
rnacentral:misc_RNA from 1 species